GGCGAGGUACCCAAGCGGCCAAAGGGGUCUGACUGUAGAUCAGCUGGUGUAAUGCCUUCGGGGGUUCGAAUCCCUCCCUCGCCACCA
rnacentral:tRNA from 1 species